UUUUAAUACACUGAAAAUAUUUACGAUUCGAAAAACGCUAUCGCCAAUAUAAUUCACCAUUCAUGACAUUCUUACUUAUGAAUCACUCUAGUAUAUAAUCGCAUACAAAGAAAUAUUACGUCGAAAUUCAAAGGUAUAAUCAAGUGGAUUCAAAAUUAAAUAUUUGAGAAGAGAACAUAAUAAGAUUAUAAUAGCGUGAAUGUAUCACAGGAAAUGUGGAAACGAUCUCAAUUAUGUAAUUAGUGUGAAAAUCGAAAUGAAACGAAAAAUAUUAACCUGGCAAAUGGUGCAACUGGCCCUAGGUAUCUUCAGAUCCUCGAUUAACGUCAAAUUUUCUACAUCAAAUUGGCACUAUUGGCAGCUACGUUGCCAGGUUGGGAAGAGCACAUUUUUGGGAACUCCAUUCACGACCAAUGGCGGGAAAUAGUGAAAUAUUUUAUUUUCUAUAAAUUACUUCAAACAGCUGAUUAAACGUGAUUACACUUA